rnacentral:rRNA from 1 species
GCGCGAAACCUUUACAAUGCACGCAAGUUGAUAAGGGAAUUCCAAGUGCUCAUGCAUAGCAUGGGCUUUUUAGAAGAGUAAAUAUCUUCUAGAAUAAGUGGUGGGAAAGACUGGUGCCAGCAGCCGCGGUAACCCCAGCGCCACAAGUGGCAAUCGCAUUUAUUGGGUCUAAAGCGUUCGUAGUUGGUUUGAUCAAUCUCUUGUGAAAUCGUGGAGCUUAACUCUACGGCGUGCAGGAGAUAUUGUCAGGCUAGGGACCGGGAGGAGUCAGAGGUAUUUCUGAGGGAACGGUAAAAUGUUAUAAUCUCAGAAAGACCACCUGUGGCAAAGGCGUCUGACUAGAACGGAUCCGACGAUGAGGAACGAAGGCCAGGGGAGCGAACCGGAUUAGAUACCCGAGUAGUCCUGGCAGUAAACUCUGUGAGCUAGGUGUUGUAUAUCCCAUGAGGAUCUACAGUAUCGAAGCGAAGGUGAUAAGCUCACCACCUGGGGAAGUACGGUCGCAAGACUGAAACUUAAAGGAAUUGGCGGGGGAGCGCUACAAGGGGUGCGGCGUGCGGUUUAAUCUAAUUUAACGCAGAGAAUCUCACCAGAAGCGACGGCAGAAUGAUGGUCAGUCUAAGGGGCUUACCUGACGAGCCGAGAGGUAGUGCAUGGCCGCCGUCAGCUCGUGCCGUAAGGUGUCCUGUCAAGUCAGGUAACGAGCGAGACCUAUGCUUACAAUUGCCAGCAUAUCUUCGGGAUGAAUGGGCACAUUGUAGGGACUGCCUGUGAAAACAGGAGGAAGGUGUAGGCAACGGUAGGUCUGUAUGCUCCGAAUCUUCUGGGCGACACGCGCGCAACAAUGGUAAGGACAAUGGGAUACUACUCCGAAAGGAGACSUUAAACCUCGAAACCUUAUCUCAGUACAGAUCGUGGGUUGGAACUCACCCACGUGACGAUGGAAUCCCUAGUAAUCGGGCUUCAACAUAUCCCGGUGAAUAUGUCCCCGCYCCU